CAGAUAUCUUCCACCUCUACUUAUCUGACUGCAGAGAGGAGGACAGAGAACAGUGGACACACAGUUUAACAUGAUGGACUAUAGGACAGGACUGCUGCUUUUAACUAUCUGCUGGGCAGGUGUUGAUGGUCAGACUCUGACAGAAUCUGAACCAGUGAUUAAAAGGCCUGGAGAAUCUCACAGACUGACCUGUACAGCCUCUGGAUUUUCACUUAGUAGCCACUGGAUGAACUGGGUCAGACAGGCUCCUGGAAAAGGACUGGAGUGGGUUGCCUGGAAUGAUAAUAGUGGUAGCAGCAAACACUACUCUCAGUCAGUUCAAGGCCGGUUCACCAUCUCCAGAGACAACAGCAGACAGCAGGUGUAUCUGCAGAUGAACAGUCUGAAGACUGAAGAUUCUGCUGUUUAUUAUUGUGCUCGAGAGCCACAGUGACUGGAGUUGGUUGAGCAGCUGUACAAAAACCUACAGUG